rnacentral:tRNA from 1 species
UAAAAUAAAGCGAUGUGUAUUGCGUUCAGUUUCGGCCUGAAUUUAGAAAAUUUCUAUUUUUUAA